rnacentral:rRNA from 1 species
AUCAACUUUCGAUGGUAGGAUAGAGGCCUACCAUGGUGGUAACGGGUAACGGGGUGUUAGGGCACGACACCGGAGAGGGAGCCUGAGAAACGGCUACCACAUCCAAGGAUGGCAGCAGGCGCGCAAAUUACCCAAUCCCGACACGGGGAGGUAGUGACAAUAAAUAACAAUACGGGGUUCUUUCGGAUCUCGUAAUUGGAAUGAGUACAAUUUAAAUCUCUUAACGAGGAACAAUUGGAGGGCAAGUCUGGUGCCAGCAGCCGCGGUAAUUCCAGCUCCAAUAGCGUAUAUUAAAGUUGUUGCAGUUAAAAAGCUCGUAGUUGAAUUUCGGGGUUAGUAGGUUGGUCAUGCCUCUGGUAUGUACUGGUCUCACUGAUUCCUCCUUCCUUAUGAACCGUAAUGCCAUUAAUUUGGUGUUGCGGGGAAUUUGGACUGUUACUUUGAAAAAAUUAGAGUGUUUAAAGCAAGCUAACGCUUGAAUACAUUAGCAUGGAAUAAUGAAAUAGGACGUUCGAUCUUAUUUUGUUGGUUUCUAGGAUUGACGUAAUGAUUAAUAGGGAUAGUUGGGGGCAUUAGUAUUCAAUUGUCAGAGGUGAAAUUCUUGGAUUUAUUGAAGACUAACUACUGCGAAAGCAUUUGCCAAGGAUGUUUUCAUUAAUCAAGAACGAAAGUUAGGGGAUCGAAGACGAUCAGAUACCGUCGUAGUCUUAACCAUAAACUAUGCCGACUAGGGAUCGGAUGAUGUUAAUUUUUUAAUGACUCAUUCGGCGCCUUACGGGAAACCAAAGUGUUUGGGUUC